rnacentral:rRNA from 1 species
UACAGAGGUCUCAAGCGUUGUUCGGAUUCAUUGGGCGUAAAGGGUGCGUAGGCGGCGUGGUAAGUCGGAUGUGAAAUCUCGGAGCUUAACUCCGAAACUGCAUUCGAUACUGCCGUGCUCGAGGACUGGAGAGGAGAUUGGAAUUCACGGUGUAGCAGUGAAAUGCGUAGAUAUCGUGAGGAACACCAGAGGCGAAGGCGGCUACCUGGACAAUUGCUGACGCUCAGGCACGAAAGCGUGGGGAGCAAAAGGG